rnacentral:lncRNA from 1 species
ACAAAGUGCGUGCUUACACUCAGGAGGAGUCUAUAUGCAUACUUGAUGUUGUGAAGGUAGGCAGCGAGAAUAGCCAACAUCAUAUCAUUGUGAGGUUGUUCUUGAACCCCUAUACUAACAAGGCAUGGUGGGAAUGACUUAACUAAGUGCAAUGGAGCCAACAUCAUAUCAUUGUGAGGUAACAUUCUCUAGAGUCCAAAUAAGAUGGGUCCUUGCAAGAGAUGCAAAUGAGUAAGUGUACUCUCUCAUUAUUAUUAAUGCUAGCCAACAUCAUAUCAUUGUGAGGUGGGCUUGGUAGUAGUGAGUCUCCCAUACCCUACUAAGAGUUUCCUCCAAAACUCUCGAAUUCCAAUGAGGGAUAUGGAAUUUGCCAAAAACAGUGGGUGGUGCUAUUUGAUUUAAAGACCCGGAUCAAAUGGCUUAAAAUCAAUCAAUUUAUAUUCGUUAUGUAUUUGUUUACCAAUAUAUUUGCAAACGCUAUCCAAAACUUGACAAAGAAAAGCUGAAUGCUUUUGUUUCCGGACUUGGUACAAAAAUCCCAAAGAUUGUCUUAAAUGGAUUGUAUAUGUACCUAAGUAGUCUCAUCCUCACAAUCUUCCUAUCGAUAAUGUACCAUUGGAAGAAAAUGUUAGAUAAGUCUAUCAUAAGUAGGAGAACACUUUUAAUGUCAUAAUUCUUCAAUUACAAUUUGUUGUAUGAAGAAAUAAGAGUUGUUUUGAACAACCCUUAGUCAAUGCAAACACUAGUGCUUGUUUCUUUGUUAAAUGAACAAAGAACUUAAGAAGAAAGCACAAUGGCAUGGACACUUUAUGUGCCAUGAUUCUUCACUUACAAAUUGUUGUAUGAAGAAAUGAGAGUUGCCUUGAACAACUCUUGAAAGUUUGUAAUUAUGUUUAGAACAUAAUGGUUGGUUGACAAAAAUAGUCCACAACAUAGACUUAUGAUGAUUUUGAAUCAUUGAGUGUUGAAGUGAUAAACCACUUAACGAGACGGAAACUAGGCAAGGACU